rnacentral:rRNA from 1 species
UACGUAGGCAGCAAGCGUUGUUCGGAGUUACUGGGCGUAAAGAGCUCGUAGGCGGUUUGUCGCGUCUGCUGUGAAAACCCGAGGCUCAACCUCGGGCCUGCAGUGGGUACGGGCAGACUAGAGUGCGGUAGGGGAGAUUGGAAUUCCUGGUGUAGCGGUGGAAUGCGCAGAUAUCAGGAGGAACACCAAUGGCGAAGGCAGAUCUCUGGGCCGUAACUGACGCUGAGGAGCGAAAGCAUGGGGAGCGAACAGG